UUCUCAUCUAGCAUCUGUUGUGGUAAGUCUAUCUUUUCAGCUCUGUUCUGCCAGUCCCUGCUUUUCAGUGCUUCUGUAAGUUCCUUUAAUCCUAGGUUUGUUCCACCUCUGAAGUCCUCUGGUGUAUAACGUCCCAUGUCUCAGGAGAAUGCUCCCAAAUGCCUGUGCCCUGUGCUUGGUGGCCUCUUACUGAUUGCUGGAGCAAGACCUUCCCCAUAGAUCCUGGGUGACUGAGACAUGAUUUCCACUGUGGUUCCAGUCUAUGAAACAGGAAACAAGCUGUAUCAAGGAGUCAGCAUCUCCAAAAAGGAAAGGAGAGGAAGUAAGAUUGGGUAAAAAGAAAAGUCCAAUAAUCAAGUAAGUCUACUAAAACCUUCAUUGAUCAGCCAGGGGCUUUGACACAGAAUUGACCACUGAAAUGUCUGCAACUGGGUCCCAAAGGCUGGGUCUUUCAACCUCACCUUUCAAUGCCAGACAAAGGGUGCAUUGGUGAGACACAAUCUGAGGAAUGGAGGGAGCUCUCUGCAGGUGAGGUGGACACAGAAGGAGCCUUUCAGGAGCAGGCUGUCCACUAGAUUCCUGUGGCUGAGUGGCAUGCUCUUCCUUGAUGCGAUAUCUAUGCAGUGUAUCCCUGUGACCGCUCAUAUACACUCCAGCUGCAGACUUUGAGAAGGCAUGUUUAGUAUAAUAAAAAAUACUGAACUCAAACAGGAGUGGCACGUGCAUACACAUUUGAAGAUCAUCAAUGUUCUGGUAGAUAGAGCAAGGUUACUCUGAGAAGACCAUUUUAUGUGAGAUUAAACAAAGACCGAAUUCAUUUAAAUCCUCCUCCAUUGAGGAUAACGACCUUUACACGAAUGUUCGCUGAAAGAUCUGUGAAAGGCUAGGUCAGCAGCAAGGAGCACUUAUAGAACCAAAAGACAAUACUGAACUAUGAUUUUCAGCUAAAAGAAACCAAGACACCUUAAAGAGAAGCAUGAUUCAAGGUCCGGGAACAAAUGGAUCUGAGUAAUCCAAAAUAUUUGUCCCACAGCAUAGCAAGGGGUGGAACAAAGGACGCUAAAACCAUGUCAAAAGACUCAAGAACAAGUUCAAAGAUGCUCCUUUUGAUUAAAAAAAGAAUAAUUGAAACAUCAGUAAGAGUAGGAAAAUAGAAUACAUUUACAUUUUUGACUUAACAAUGAGUCCUUAAAAGUUGAUCAGUUACCUUUGAGUGAUGACAGGAAAUCAGUCGAUUUCCUCAGAGAUUAACGAGGAGGCUGAAAGAGUGGUACUCAGUUUGCUCUCCUAAAUGAACUGGGCCCCUGGGUGGCCACGUGGUAAAUAAGGGAGACAACUCAACAGACCCGGUUAAUAAAGGGAAGCAAAAUCUCAGCAUUAGAGGACCAGCACAUGACGACUGCAAUAAAUCAGCGGGUCUGCUCAAUAGAAAUAUCACAAACAAGAGACAUGGCCAAGCAUUACGUGCCCCUCAGCAAACAAACACCACACCAUCUGUAGUCUUGCCAAAAAGAUCAAACCUAAGUCUGAUUGAGCCCUCAGAACCCGCUGCCAUUUUUAAAGAAAUCCAGGGGACAGAGGAAUGUAUUGAACUCCACCAUGAGCAUGCAAUUAGCAAAAUCCAGAUGGUAGGAAACGCUGAGGCCAGACUCGGGUAUUCAACAGAGAAAUUAGGAGAAGAAAAACAUAGGAAACCUGUAGAGGAAGAAAAAGAUUGAAGGCUUAAAAGACAGUUUUUAAGUGAGUGAGGAUCGGCCCCAUAGUGUCUAAGGACUAAGACAUGGCUGAUACCUGUCCUUACAUAAUCAUGUGCUUAUCACAAAAAUCAGAAAACACCUAUUGAAGGAAGAGGGUGCUGAGAUCAGUCCAGCAGUGGAUGGCUCCUGGGCAGCUGGCAAAAUCCUACAGUUUGAUUUCCAUAAAUGUUUGCAAUAAUGUUGAUAUUUUUAG
rnacentral:sRNA from 1 species